AUUUGAAUUUUCAAAUUUGAAAUUUGAAAUUUAAAAUUUAUAAUUUGAAAUUUAUAAUGUAGAAUUUUAAAUUUCAAAUUUAGAAUAUGAAAUUUAAAUUCAAAUUUAAAAUUUAAAAUUUAAAUUCAAAUUUAAAAUUUAAAAUUUAAAUUUGAAGUUUAAAAUUUUCAAAUUUAAAAUUAAAAUAUUUAAAUUUAAUUAAAAAUUAAAAUUCAAAAUUUAAAAUUUAAAAUUUGACAAAUCAAAAUGUUAAAUUAAAUUUUUUAAAAUGACGUAUUGAAUGGGUUUCCGGAGUUAGGGGGGUAAAAUUGUCAUUUUAAAUAAUUUGCAGUAUUACUGGCUUUCAGUAAUCCAUGAUACACAACCCCCUCACGUUAAUAUUUUUAGUGUAAUCCUGCACCAUUUUGUAAUGCUACAUUAUCGACCCGAUUACAUGCUGGAUGAACCAAACACAAUAAUCCUAAAAUGAUUGCCUGUAAUCCUGUCAAGAUAACCUGAACCAAACGCACUCUAAAAGUUUUUCCGCUUCUACGUGCCUUGUUAGGUUGGGGUGGUUGAUUUGGUAAAUGGUAAAUAUUUUCCACGCAACCUAAGAUGUCACCUCCGCAAGAGAACUUUUUUCCAAAUAAUUCUAGAAAAUAUUAUAAUUGGCUAAAUGAUUCUAUUAAAAAUAUAUUUGACUAAAUAAUCCUCCUUUUGCAUGAGAAUUUUUUUUUUAAAAGCAGUAAAUCAUUUAUCGUUUUUAUAAAUGCGAUAAAUAAUUCACUAUUUUUUUAAUUUUUCACAAAAGCAAUAAAUUAUUUACCGCCUUCUUGAAGAUUAUUUUGUAGGAUUUUUAGAUUGUUAAGAUUGUAUGUGAUUUGUUGAAAUAUUUAUAUAAUUGUUAGGAUUAUAUAUGAGAAAUAAAAAAAUAUGAGGCUGUUAAGAUUAUAUGUGGAUUAUUAAAAUUUUAAUGUAAAGUAAUAAACUAACUAACUUGGGUAAGGAUAUAAAUAUAAUUAAAUUUUAUUAAU
rnacentral:lncRNA from 1 species